AGAGUUUGAUCCUGGCUCAGGAUAAACGCUGGCGGCGUGCGUAAUACAUGCAAGUCGAACGGACCACUUUCGGGUGGUUAGUGGCGGACGGGUGAGUAACACGUAGGAACCUGCCAUACCGGAGGGGAAUAACGGUGGGAAACCAUCGCUAAUGCCGCGUACGCUCGUGUUGGGGGACCAGCGUGAGGAGAGGCGCCGGGGAACUGGUGCUGCCGGAUGGGGGGCCUGCGUCCCAUUAGGCUGGUUGGUGGGGUAACGGCCUACCAAGGCGAUGAUGGGUAGCCGGUCUGAGAGGAUGAUCGGCCACACUGGGACUGAGAGACGGCCCAGACUCCUACGGGGGGCAGCAGUAAGGGAUUUUCCGCAAUGGGCGCAAGCCUGACGGAGCGACGCCGCGUGAGUGAUGACGCCUUUCGGGGUGUAAAGCUCUUUUCUCGGGGAAGAGGCAAGGACGGUACUCGGGGAAGAAGCCUCGGCUAACUACGUGCCAGCAGCCGCGGUAAUACGUAGGAGGCGAGCGUUACCCGGAAUUAUUGGGCGUAAAGCGCGCGUAGCGGGUGGUGCGUCCUGCGUGAAAGUUGGGGCUCAACCCCAACAUGUCGCAUGAUACGCCGCUCUUGAGGACNGUAGGGAUGGUGGAAUUCCGCGAGGAGUGGUGAAAUGCGUAGAGACGCGGAGAACACCGGUGGCGAAGCGCCAUCUGGCCCGCUCCUGACGUUGAGGCGCGAAAGCCAGGGGAGCGAACGGGAUUAGAUACCCCGGUAGUCCUGGCCCUAAACGAUGGACACUAGGUAUGGGGGGUAUCGACCCCUUCCGUGCCGGAGCUAACGCAGUAAGUGUCCCGCCUGGGGAGUACGGUCGCAAGACUAAAACUCAAAGGAAUUGACGGGGGCCCGCACAAGCAGCGGAGCGUGUGGUUUAAUUCGAUGCAACGCGAAGAACCUUACCGGGGCUUGACAUGGGUGGUGACCGGUCCAGAGAUGGAUCUUCCGCGCAAGCGGCAGCACUCACAGGUGUUGCAUGGCUGUCGUCAGCUCGUGUCGUGAGAUGUUGGGUUAAGUCCCGCAACGAGCGCAACCCUUGCAUUCAGUUACAGUUGUCUGGAUGGACUGCCGCUAAAGGGCGGAGGAAGGCGGGGAUGACGUCAAGUCAGCAUGACCUUUAUGUCCCGGGCUACUCACACGCUACAAUGGUCGGUACAGACGGCUCGGCGACCGCGCGAGCGGAAGCGAAUCCGAGAAAACCGAUCUCAGUUCGGAUUGCAGGCUGCAACUCGCCUGCAUGAAGUCGGAGUUGCUAGUAACCGCGGGUCAGCACACCGCGGUGAAUACGUUCUCGGGCCUUGCACUCACCGCCCGU
rnacentral:rRNA from 1 species